rnacentral:rRNA from 1 species
UUGGCUCAGAACGAACGCUGGCGGCAGGCCUAACACAUGCAAGUCGAGCGGAUGAGAGGAGCUUGCUCCUCGAUUCAGCGGCGGACGGGUGAGUAAUGCCUAGGAAUCUGCCUAGUAGUGGGGGACAACGUUUCGAAAGGAACGCUAAUACCGCAUACGUCCUACGGGAGAAAGUGGGGGAUCUUCGGACCUCACGCUAUUAGAUGAGCCUAGGUCGGAUUAGCUAGUUGGUAGGGUAAAGGCCUACCAAGGCGACGAUCCGUAACUGGUCUGAGAGGAUGAUCAGUCACACUGGAACUGAGACACGGUCCACG